CCUACGGGAGGCAGCAGUAGGGAAUCUUUCACAAUGGGCGAAAGCCUGAUGGAGCAACGCCGCGUGCAGGAUGAAGGCCUUCGGGUUGUAAACUGCUUUUAUAAGCGAGAAAUAUGAUGGUAACUUAUGAAUAAGGAUCGGCUAACUACGUGCCAGCAGCCGCGGUCAUACGUAGGAUCCGAGCAUUAUCCGGAGUGACUGGGUGUAAAGAGUUGCGUAGGUGGCAUAAUAAGUAGCUAGUGAAAUCUGGUGGCUCAACCAUUCAGACUAUUAGCUAAACUGUUAGUCUCGAGACCGUUAGGGGUAACUGGAAUUUCUAGUGUAGGAGUGAAAUCCGUAGAUAUUAGAAGGAACACCAAUAGCGUAGGCAGGUUGCUGGGACGGUUCUGACACUAAGGCACGAAAGCGUAGGGAGCAAACGGGAUUAGAUACCCUAGUAGUC
rnacentral:rRNA from 1 species